GACGAACGCUGGCGGCGUGCCUAAUACAUGCAAGUCGAGCGAAGUUUUUCUGGUGCUUGCACCGGAAAGACUUAGCGGCGAACGGGUGAGUAACACGUAAAGAACCUGCCUCAUAGACUGGGACAACUAUUGGAAACGAUAGCUAAUACCGGAUAAUAGCAUUAACUGCAUGGUUGAUGUUUAAAAGUUGGUUUUGCUAACACUAUGAGAUGGCUUUGCGGUGCAUUAGCGAGUUGGUGGGGUAAAGGCCUACCAAGGCGACGAUGCAUAGCCGACCUGAGAGGGUGAUCGGCCACACUGGGACUGAGACACGGCCCAGACUCCGACGGGAGGCAGCAGUAGGGAAUCUUCCGCAAUGGGCGAAAGCCUGACGGAGCAACGCCGCGUGAGUGAAGAAGGAUUUCGGUUCGUAAAGCUCUGUUGUUAGGGAAGAAUGAUUGUGUAGUAACUAUACACAGUAGAGACGGUACCUAACCAGAAAGCCACGGCUAACUACGUG
rnacentral:rRNA from 1 species